rnacentral:rRNA from 1 species
GAUCCUGGCUCAGGACGAACGCUGGCGGCGUGCCUAAUACAUGCAAGUAGAACGCUGAAGGAAGGAGCUUGCUCUUUCCGGAUGAGUUGCGAACGGGUGAGUAACGCGUAGGUAACCUGCCUGGUAGCGGGGGAUAACUAUUGGAAACGAUAGCUAAUACCGCAUAACAGUAGAUAUCGCAUGAUAGCUGCUUAAAAGGUGCAAUUGCACCACUACCAGAUGGACCUGCGUUGUA